rnacentral:tRNA from 1 species
GGCCUGAUAAAACGUAACAGGAUGACCGUCCUUGUUUCCUAAACAAGUCACUCGAAAGGGUGUUGUGGGUUCGAAUCCCUCUCAGGUCA